AAUGUUUUAGGUUAAUGAAAACCAAAAGCCUUCAAAGCUUUAAAUGGAGAAACAUCUCUAAACAUUA
rnacentral:tRNA from 1 species